UUGGAGGGCAAGUCUGGUGCCAGCAGCCGCGGUAAUUCCAGCUCCAAUAGCGUAUAUUAAAGUUGUUGCAGUUAAAAAGCUCGUAGUUGAACUUCGGGGUUUACCCAUUGGUCAGGCUUAAUUGUCUGUACUGGUGAGAUGAAUCUCUACCUUCUGAGGAACUUUCAUGCCAUUUAUUUGGUGUGAUGGGAAAUCAGGACUGUUACUUUGAAAAAAUUAGAGUGUUUAAAGCAGGCUAACGUCUGAAUACAUUAGCAUGGAAUAAUGAAAUAGGACGGACUGAUUCUAUUUCGUUGGUUUCUAGGAUCACCGUAAUGAUUAAUAGGGAUAGUUGGGGGCAUUAGUAUUCAAUUGUCAGAGGUGAAAUUCUUGGAUUUAUUGAGGACUAACUACUGCGAAAGCAUUUGCCAAGGAUGUUUUCAUUAAUCAAGAACGAAAGUUAGGGGAUCGAAGACGAUCAGAUACCGUCGUAGUCUUAACCAUAAACUAUGCCGACUAGGGAUCGGACGAAGUUAAUUUUAUAAUGACGCGUUCGGCGCCUUACGGGAAAC
rnacentral:rRNA from 1 species